GACGAACCGUGCGAACGUUGUUCGGAUUCACUGGGCUUAAAGGGCGCGUAGGCGGGCUUGCCAGUCAGGGGUGAAAUCCUCCGGCUCAACCCGGAGCAGGGCCUUUUGAUACUGCAAGUCUUGAGGGAGGCAGGGGCAUGUGGAACUUCCGGUGGAGCGGGUGAAAUGCGUAGAUAUCGGAAGGAACGCCGGUGGCGAAAGCGACGUGCUGGACCUCUUCGACGCUGAGGCGCGGAAAGCCAGGGGAGCAAACGGG
rnacentral:rRNA from 1 species